rnacentral:lncRNA from 1 species
AAGGGAUCACUAUAUUUGUUCUCACCAUGGAAGUGAAACCAGGACAAGUGGUAAUCCUGUUUUCCUGUUUAUGAAAUAUCUCACUUCCUUAGAUUCUUUUUGAGUUUUAUGGCUAUCUAUAGACGUGGAAAUUGAGCUGAAGCCAAACAGAUCUGGCCUUAUUUCCCAUGGGCCUGUGCACCACCAAUUUGGAUCUGAGAUCAGACAUAACCUUGCCAUAAGCAGCAAAGGGCUUGGUGAACCCUCAAAAAGGCUGUCAAACACCCAGAGGCCUUGGGGAUCAGGAAGGAGCUAUCAUGUGGUCUUUCAUCUAAGAGAGAAUUGUCCUGCCUGAUGGGCUUCAAACCACCAGAACAUCAGUUCUUCCUGGUUCUGCAGUAGUCUCCAACCUUCAGACUCAAACUUCAGCACCUGUUCUUCAGAUUUUGGACUUGCAGCCUCUAUAAUCACAUGAGCCAAUUCCUUAUAUAAAUUUAUUUAUACAUGCUGACAGUUGGUUCUGUUUCUCUGGAUAACCCUGACUGUUAGAGCUGUUACCUCAAAUUUGUUUUCUUAUAUUUGGUGUCUGUUUUGGAGUACUUACAAGUGCUUAAAAUGUUCUUUUUCAAUUAGGUCCUGUAGAACAUAGCUGCGCCUGGAAUUGAAUGAUCGUGUUUUCCGUGCAGAGCUAUCUGCCUUUGGACAGGAGGAGAACUCUCAGCACCAUUCCCUUUCCACGGGAGCUUCUUUUUUCUCAUUCUUUUUCUUGCCUCCCUCAACUCCCAUCCUCUGUUCUGGGAGAAGGUGAAGCUGGCCUGACAGGCCUGAGGGAAGCCGGACGGAGGCACACUUGCCAGCUUUUAGUUGAGGGAGGCACCGCAGCAAGGCUCUCCAGUCCCUCCUUCCCUGGGAGCACCAGCUCUGAUUCUAGUGGGCAGCUGCAGCUAAGACGAAGACAAAUGAAUCCAGAGACUUCUCUCGAGCUAUGAGCCUGAGCCAAAGGCACAGCCCAGCUGUCCAGAGAGCUUUGUGACAGAACAUGGGGGGCCAGCUGACAGGAACCGAGGCACUUUUAAAUUUAGCACUUGUCCUCGCCCUUUCGGUUCACGAUUUCUUGGAAGUUUCAUUUGGAAAAAGAGGUGAGGGACAGAAGUAGAAGUUGGGAAUUCUAGAUCCCUUGAUUCUAGAAUAUUCUAAGAUCUUCCAAACUAACCCUGAUUCCUAAAAACAGAAUAGGACAAUCUUGUUUUCGGUAUUGAGAAUAGCAAAUAUAGAAAUCCCUUAAUUCUUUGACUUAGCUUAGCAGGUGCAAUUAGUUCUAUCCCUAAGCCUUCUUACCAGAAAAUUUUCUAGUGUAAAAUGAUUGGAUGGGAUACCAAUUGGGAUGGGUGUGGUAAUAGUAAAACCAUAUUCUUUAAUAACUUUUUCUUAUUUGUUUUCCUGGAAUUUUGGUUGGCAUUUUUUAAUGAAUUACAUGCUUAUUUUUAAAAAUUAUUAUGAUGGAGAAUUUUUGUUAGGCAGAAUUUCAAAUCUGUCAUCUGCUGUUGACUCUUACUUUCACUACAAAUUUACGAAGGUAGAGAGACCCAGUUCUUACUUAAGUUAUAUCUAACAUAAAAAUACAAUUCUGUCCCAAUCUGUUCAUUUAAAGGGUAAAUUUAUAGCAUCUGUUCAACUUUAUAUGCUAUCUCAAAAUUGUCAACAUUUUAAGCAAGGUGCUACCUAAUUUUAAUGGGUGCACAAGAGGGAAAAGUGGGUCAUUGACUUCAAAGGCGAAACUAUAAGCUAUUAAUGGGCUACGUUGUGCUGAAUUACAAUCUCUUUUCUUGUUUCAAGUUAAAAUUUUUAAGUGGCCACAUGUUUGGCAUUGUAAUUGAUACCACAAUGCUGCUGUUCCUUGACUCAUUCAUUCUCAAAUGUAUAUAUAUAUAUAUUCUUAGUUCACAAAUUUCUAUUUCUUUUACACAAGUUGCUAUUUCUUGUAGUGUUCAUGAACUGGGUAUGCUGUCCUUUGUAAUGAAAGACUACAGACUGCCAUGAAUAGUACCUUGGCUUCUUUUUUUACAGUGUGGAAUGAGAGCAUUUAUUAUUGUUGCAUUAUUGUAUUUUUGAAUAAAAAUCCCUAUUCCCACUGUACCAAA